rnacentral:rRNA from 1 species
UAGAGUUUGUAUCCUGGCUACAGAUAACGCUGGCGGCGUGCAUAACACAUGCAAGUCGAACGAUGAAACUUUAAUGAACCCUUCGGGGAGAAUUAAAGCGGAUUAGUGGCGAACGGGUGAGUAACGCGUGAGUAACCUGCCUUACACAAGGGGAUAGCCUUUGGAAACGAAGAAUAAUACCCUAUAAAACCAUAAAGGCACAUGCAAUUAUGGUCAAAGUAUUAGCGGUGUAAGAUGGACUUGCGUCUGAUUAGCUAGUUGGUGAGAUAAAAGCCCACCAAGGCAACGAUCAGUAGCCGGCUUGAGAGAGUGUACGGCCACAUUGGGACUGAGACACGGCCCGGACUCCUACGGGAGGCAGCAGUGGGGAAUUUUGCACAAUGGGGGAAACCCUGAUGCAGCGACGCCGCGUGAUUUAGAAGGCCUUCGGGUUGUAAAAAUCUUUUGUAUAGGAAGAAAAUGACAGUACCAUACGAAUAAGGUCCGGCUAAUUACGUG